rnacentral:lncRNA from 10 species
AGCAGCACUCAGCUAAAAGGAAGACUCACAGAACACAGUUGAAGAAGGAAAGUGGCGAUGGACCUCAUCCCAAAUUUGGCGGUGGAAACCUGGCUUCUCCUGGCUGUCAGCCUGGUGCUCCUCUAUCUGAUGAGAGUCCCCAAAUCAGCGAAGAGUCCACUUACUAAACAGACAUAAGGAAAUGAAGUGUCCUGGAAGAAUUCCUGCCUGAACCUCUCAGGAGCAUUUGAGGACAUUUAUCAAGUAUUCACUCCAGGAUUGGGACUAUGAAGACUUCAGCUGCUUUCAGCUAAUCAUUGAGACUUUUCAGGGGUCUCAGAAUAGUCAGGAAAGGACCUGAUGAGUGAAUGCAAUUACUGAUGUUGGAGUUGCUGUUAUUAUUUAUCGUAUAUGGGACCCGUACACAUGGACUUUUUAAGAGACUGGGAAUUCCAGGGCCCACACCUCUGCCUUUGUUGGGAAAUGUUUUGUCCUAUCGUCAGGGUCUCUGGAAAUUUGACACAGAGUGCUAUAAAAAGUAUGGAAAAAUGUGGGGUAUCUCUUCCCUGUUUGGACCACAUUACCCUUCAUCAUAUGAAGCCUUGGGUGGCUCCUGUGUGAGACUCUUGCUGUGUGUCACACCCUAAUGAACUAGAACCUAAGGUUGCUGUGUGUCGUACAACUAGGGGUAUGGAUUACAUAACAUAAUGAUCAAAGUCUGGCUUCCUGGGUGUGGCUCCAGCUGCAGAAUCGGGCUAGUGAAGUUUAAUCAGCUCCGUUGUCCCCACACAGAACGUAUGAAGGUCAACUCCCUGUGCUGGCCAUCACAGAUCCCGACGUGAUCAGAACAGUGCUAGUGAAAGAAUGUUAUUCUGUCUUCACA